rnacentral:rRNA from 1 species
GACAGCGGAGGCGAGCGUUAUCCGCAGUCAUUGGGCGUAAAGGGUACGUAGGCGGCUAGUCAAGUCUGAGGUUAAAGACCACAGCUUAACUGUGGGAAGGCCUUGGAAACUGACUGGCUAGAGUGGGGCAGGGGUUGCGGGAAUUCCCGGUGUAGCGGUGAAAUGCGUAGAUAUCGGGAAGAACACCUGAGGAGAAAGCGCGCAACUGGGCCCUAACUGACGCUGAGGUACGAAAGAUAGGGGAGCGAAUGGG